rnacentral:rRNA from 1 species
GAUGAACGCUGGCGGCGUGCUUAAUACAUGCAAGUAGAACGCUGAAGCUUGGUGCUUGCACCGAGCGGAGGAGUUGCGAACGGGUGAGUAACGCGUAGGUAACCUGCCUCUUAGCGGGGGAUAACUAUUGGAAACGAUAGCUAAUACCGCAUAAAAGUCGACAUUGCAUGAUGUUGACUUGAAAGGUGCAACUGCAUCACUAAGAGAUGGACCUGCGUUGUAUUAGCUAGUUGGUGAGGUAACGGCUCACCAAGGCGACGAUACAUAGCCGACCUGAGAGGGUGAUCGGCCACACUGGGACUGAGACACGGCCCAGACUCCUACGGGAGGCAGCAGUAGGGAAUCUUCGGCAAUGGACGGAAGUCUGACCGAGCAACGCCGCGUGAGUGAAGAAGGUUUUCGGAUCGUAAAGCUCUGUUGUAAGAGAAGAACGAGUGUGAGAGUGGAAAGUUCACACUGUGACG